rnacentral:rRNA from 1 species
UGCAGAAGAGCUUGCUUUUUGUACUUUAGUGGCGGACGGGUGAGUAACGCGUGAGCAACCUGCCUGACAGAGGGGAAUAACGUCUGGAAACGGACGCUAAUACCGCAUAACGCAUAGGUUUCGCAUGGGGCCUAUGCCAAAGAUUAAUCGCUGACAGAUGGGCUCGCGUCCGAUUAGGUAGUUGGUGAGGUAACGGCUCACCAAGCCUGCGAUCGGUAGCCGGACUGAGAGGUUGAACGGCCACAUUGGAACUGAGAAACGGUCCAGACUCC